rnacentral:rRNA from 1 species
GAAACUUAAAGGAAUUGGCGGGGGAGCACCACAAGGGGUGAAGCCUGCGGUUCAAUUGGACUCAACGCCGGGCAACUUACCAGGGGAGACAGCAGAAUGAAGGUCAGGUUGACGACCUUACCUAACAAGCUGAGAGGAGGUGUAUGGCCGUCGCCAGUUCGUGCUGUGAGGUAUCCUGUUAAGUCAGGCAACGAACGAGACCCGCGCCUUUAUUUGCCAUCAAGAAGUCACGACUUUGUUGGGAACGAUAAAGGGACCGCCGUCGAUAAGACGGAGGAGGGAGCGGGCAAAGGCAGGUCAGUAUGCCCCGAAACCCCUGGGCUACACGCGGGCUGCAAUGGUGCGAACAAUGGGCUGUGACUCCGAGAGGAGAAACCAAUCCCUAAAUCGCAUCUCAGUUGGGAUUGUCAACUGUAACCCGUUGACAUGAACGUGGAAUCCCUAGUAAUCGCGUGUCACCAUCGCGCGGUGAAUACGUCUCUGCUCCUUGCACACACCGCCCGUCGCUCCACCCGAGUGUGCUGGAAAUGAGGCAUGGUCAAAUUGGUUGUGUCGAGUUUCUAGCAUGCGAGGAGGGAGAAGUCGUAACAA